rnacentral:rRNA from 1 species
AGAGUUUGAUCCUGGCUCAGAUUGAACGCUGGCGGCAUGCCUAACACAUGCAAGUCGAACGGUAACAGGCCGCAAGGUGCUGACGAGUGGCGGACGGGUGAGUAAUACGUAGGUAUCUGCCCUGUAGUGGGGAAUAACCACCGGAAACGGUGGCUAAUACCGCAUAAUGCAGCGGCACCUAAUGGUGACAGUUGUUAAAGCGGGGGAUCGCAAGACCUCGCGUCUGAAGAGGAGCCUGCGGCGGAUUAGCUAGUUGGUAAGGUAACGGCUUACCAAGGCGAUGAUCCGUAACCGGCCUGAGAGGGCGGUCGGUCACACUGACACUGACAUACGGGUCAGACUCCUACGGGAGGCAGCAGUCGGGAAUUUUGGGCAAUGGGCGAAAGCCUGACCCAGCAACGCCGCGUGAAGGAUGAAAUCCUUCGGGAUGUAAACUUCGCAAGAACAGGAAGAAUAAGUAAGGGUUAAUAUCUCUUACGAUGACGGUACUGUUUGUAAGCUCCGGCUAACUCCGUGCCAGCAGCCGCGGUAAUACGGGGGGAGCAAGCGUUGUUCGGAUUUACUGGGCGUAAAGGGCGCGUAGGCGGCCACCGCAAGUCGACUGUGAAAUCUCUGGGCUUAACCCAGAACGGUCAGCCGAUACUGCGGGGCUAGAGUGCAGAAGGGGCAACUGGAAUUCUCGGUGUAGCGGUGAAAUGCGUAGAUAUCGAGAGGAACACCUGCGGCGAAGGCGGGUUGCUGGGCUGACACUGACGCUGAGGCGCGAAAGCUAGGGGAGCGAACGGGAUUAGAUACCCCAGUAGUCC